GUGGGGAAUCUUCCGCAAUGGACGAAAGUCUGACGGAGCGACGCCGCGUGAGUGAAGAAGGCCUUCGGGUCGUAAAGCUCUGUCAUCAGGGACGAACGGCCGGUGGAGUGGAAAGCCACCGGAUUGACGGUACCUGAGAAGGAAGCCACGGCUAACUACGUGCCAGCAGCCGCGGUAAUACGUAGGUGGCAAGCGUUGUCCGGAAUUAUUGGGCGUAAAGCGCGCGCAGGUGGGAUCUUAAGUCCAUUUUUAAAGUUCGGAGCUUAACUCCGUGAUGGGAUGGAAACUGGGAUUCUUGAGUACCGGAGAGGAAAGCGGAAUUCCCCGUGUAGCGGUGAAAUGCGUAGAUAUGGGGAGGAACACCAGUGGCGAAGGCGGCUCACUGGCUCGAUACUGACGCUGAGGUGCGAAAGCGUGGGGAGCAAACAGGAUUAGAAACCCUGGUAGUCC
rnacentral:rRNA from 1 species